rnacentral:rRNA from 1 species
GACGAACGCUGGCGGCGUGCCUAAUACAUGCAAGUCGAGCGCAGGAAACUGACGGAACUCUUCGGAGGGAAGGCAGUGGAAUGAGCGGCGGACGGGUGAGUAACACGUAAGGAACCUGCCUCAAGGAUUGGGAUAACUCCGAGAAAUCGGAGCUAAUACCGGAUAGUUCAUCGGACCGCAUGGUCCGCUGAUGAAAGGCGCUCCGGCGUCACCUUGAGAUGGCCUUGCGGUGCAUUAGCCAGUUGGUGGGGUAACGGCCCACCAAGGCGACGAUGCAUAGCCGACCUGGGAGGGUGAUCGGCCACACUGGGACUGAGACACGGCCCAGACUCCUACGGGAGGCAGCAGUAGGGAAUCUUCCACAAUGGACGAAAGUCUGAUGGAGCAACGCCGCGUGAGUGAUGAAGGUUCUCGGAUCGUAAAACUCUGUUGUAAGGGAAGAACACGUACGAGAGGGAAUGCUCGUACCUUGACGGUACCUUACGAGAAAGCCACGGCUAACUACGUGCCAGCCGCCGCCGUAA